GUCUAGUGGCGCACGGGUGCGUAACGCGUGGGAAUCUGCCCUUAGGUUCGGAAUAACUCAGAGAAAUUUGAGCUAAUACCGGAUGAUGACGUAAGUCCAAAGAUUUAUCGCCUAGGGAUGAGCCCGCGUAGGAUUAGGUAGUUGGUGGGGUAAAGGCUCACCAAGCCGACGAUCCUUAGCUGGUCUGAGAGGAUGAUCAGCCACACUGGGACUGAGACACGGCCCAGACUCCUACGGGAGGCAGCAGUGGGGAAUAUUGGACAAUGGGCGAAAGCCUGAUCCAGCAAUGCCGCGUGAGUGAUGAAGGCCUUAGGGUUGUAAAGCUCUUUUACCCGGGAUGAUAAUGACAGUACCGGGAGAAUAAGCCCCGGCUAACUCCGUGCCAGCAGCCGCGGUAAUACGGAGGGGGCUAGCGUUGUUCGGAAUUACUGGGCGUAAAGCGUACGUAGGCGGUUAUUCAAGUCAGAGGUGAAAGCCUGGAGCUCAACUCCAGAACUGCCUUUGAAA
rnacentral:rRNA from 1 species